GGAAAACUAGGUCAUGGGGAGUGAAGCAAAACACAAUGGAAACACAGAACAAGCAGACAUGUUACAUAAAAAGACUAAACCAAAGUUUAUAACCCUGUGACCCAUGUGAUGUAGUAAUUGAGCAAUUGACAAGGAGCUAGUGGACAGUUGCCAUGGCAAAAGAAAGCAAAAACAAAAAAUAA